rnacentral:rRNA from 1 species
UACGGGGGGAGCAAGCGUUGUUCGGAUUUACUGGGCGUAAAGGGCGCGUAGGCGGCCUCUGCAAGUCGACAGUGAAAUCUCCGGGCUUAACCCGGAACGGUCAGCCGAUACUGCAGGGCUAGAGUGCAGAAGGGGCAACCGGAAUUCUCGGUGUAGCGGUGAAAUGCGUAGAUAUCGAGAGGAACACCUGCGGCGAAGGCGGGUUGCUGGGCUGACACUGACGCUGAGGCGCGAAAGCUAGGGGAGCGAACGGG